rnacentral:rRNA from 1 species
GAUGAACGCUGGCGGUAUGCUUAACACAUGCAAGUCGAACGGACUCUUCGGAGUUAGUGGCGGACGGGUGAGUAACGCGUGAGAAUCUGGCUUUGGGUUCGGGACAACCACUGGAAACGGUGGCUAAUACCGGAUGUGCCGAGAGGUAAAAGAGAAAUUGCCUGAAGAUGAGCUCGCGUCUGAUUAGCUAGUUGGUGAGGUAAAGGCUCACCAAGGCAGCGAUCAGUAGCUGGUCUGAGAGGAUGACCAGCCACACUGGGACUGAGACACGGCCCAGACUCCUCCGGGAGGCAGCAGUGGGGAAUUUUCCGCAAUGGGCGAAAGCGUGACGGAGCAAUACCGCGUGAGGGAAGAAGGCUCUUGGGUUGUAAACCUCUUUUCUUAGGGAAGAACAAAAUGACGGUACCUAAGGAAUCAGCAUCGGCUAACUCCGUG